GAUGAACGCUGGCGGCGUGCCUAAUACAUGCAAGUCGAGCGAACGGACGAGAAGCUUGCUUCUCUGAUGUUAGCGGCGGACGGGUGAGUAACACGUGGAUAACCUACCUAUAAGACUGGGAUAACUUCGGGAAACCGGAGCUAAUACCGGAUAAUAUUUUGAACCGCAUGGUUCAAAAGUGAAAGACGGUCUUGCUGUCACUUAUAGAUGGAUCCGCGCUGCAUUAGCUAGUUGGUAAGGUAACGGGUUACCAAGGCAACGAUGCAUAGCCGACCGGAGAGGGUGAUCGGCCACACUGGAACUGAGACACGGUCAAGACUCCUACGGGAGGCAGCAGUAGGGAAUCUUCCGCAAUGGGCGAAAGCCUGACGGAGCAACGCCGCGUGAGUGAUGAAGGUCUUCGGAUCGUAAAACUCUGUUAUUAGGGAAGAACAUAUGUGUAAGUAACUGUGCACAUCUUGACGGUACCUAAUCAGAAAGCCACGGCUAACUACGUG
rnacentral:rRNA from 1 species